rnacentral:misc_RNA from 1 species
CUUUACAAUUUUCAAGAUGGAGCCGAUUUUCAGGAAGAAAAACAGAGAACUGAUGUUAAUGGAAAUUGAACAAGACAAACGGCUCGUGGAAGCAUCGCGAUCUGGAGAGUUAGACCAAGUGAAAACUCUUUUAAAAACAGGUGCCUCUCCCGAUGCCACAGAAAUCACUAGAGGAAUGUGUCCAUGCUCACUUGGACAAUGCUAUCUGGAAGGACAUCCUGUCACUGCCUGCCAAAGAUACAGGUGACACACCCCUUCACGAGUGUGUGAAGAAUGGAAUGCUGUCCUGUAUCCAGGCCCUUCUACGAAAAGGCUCUGAUGUCAACCACAAAAACUUGCAGGGGUUUAGUCCGCUACACAUUGCAGUCAGAGCUGGAGAGAAGUUCUCCAUGGAGAUAUUGCGGGAGCUUGUUACUAGAGGCUACAGCACCGACGUCAAUAUACCAGAGUCACUAGGAUUCUCUCCCCUUCACUACGUCUGUUUCCAUGAAAACAACAUGCAAGAGCGUAGGCCGGAGGCAGCUGCCCUAUUGAUUUCUUACGGUGCUAGCUUUAAUAUUCGCAACAGAAAUAAUGACAGUCUUCUGCAGUAUGAACUUCGAAGUAAAAACCGCGACUUGACAAUCCUGUUUGCCAUUGCGAAGAGCGUGGCCUACCUUCCUACCAUUGAAUCGCUGUCCAUCUUCCCCCCACAUUCCCAGCUCAUCUCUACUGAUUAUAGUGCUAACAGACACAUGGUGAAGUUGAUAAAGAAUGACGUCCAGUAUUAUAAGAUCAUGUGGUACAAAGAGCUGACGAGGGACCCCCGCUCUUUGCAGCAUUACUGUCGCUGCGUGGUCAGGAAAGCUAUGGGGGUCAGACGUCUGGGUCAGAUUGACACCCUGCCCCUCCCGUCCACUCUGAAAGAUUAUCUCCAUCUGAGGAUGGAGGAGUUUUCUGUGUCCAUUCCAGAAAUGCCGGACACGUGACCCCCCAUCCCACAGUUCCCGUUGUCUCAUGUAGUACCUAAAACAUACACUCAGUGUGACACUGUUCUUUCAACUAAAGGUUGUUUCAGUUUUAGAACUAGUUUCGACAGUUUUUGUUUAGGUGUAUCUUUUGAAUGGUAAGCUGUCAAUAUUGUACUUCCUAGAAAUUUGAUAAGCAGUCAGACCUUCUGCCAUAUAAUUCAUGUUGGACAAAAAUUAUGUAAACAUUCUGGUGUAUAGGUAGGUUAAAAUGAUCCUAUUAUGUCGAGAAUCUUAUAUUGCAAAUUAUCAAAAUUCUGGAAUGAAUCUUCACCUUGUUGGUGUAUGCUACAUGUUUUCGUGAGGCAUCUAGAUUUUAUAGAUUUAUUACCUAAAUUGAUUUGUUCAUUGUUGUUGAGUUUCAACAAGAAUCCAACUACAUGUAUAACUUACUGGCAGAGAAUCUAGCCCAGUGAGGAGACUUCGACAUGUCAGUCUGGUAUAUAUGUACAACUAAACUCAAGUGUGGGGGGCCAAGUCUGCCUAAUCAUUCUGCUGGUCCAACACUAUUACAGAGGAAUAUACAAUCGUGUUACCAUUGCAGACAGUGGGUGGGAUCCAUUCUUUGGGAUCCAUUCUAUGGGAUUCAAUCUACUGGCCUUAGAUGAUUUGUUUGGGGUUUUCUUUAUAUGUGUGAUGAGUUUUGCAGACUUAUAUAUAAUUCUACUUGUACUACAGAUGUAUAGUGUACAUAGCACUGUGCAGCAUGAUCUUGCCACCAUUAUGGGGAUGAACCAAGUCCAGCAAUGGAUACUUGGCAUGCGAUACAGAAAUAUGAGUAAUUACAAGCAUAAAGCAAGCAUUAACUCCAGCAUAACAGUGCCACUAAAUUGAAAAAGCAUAAAAGAUGGCCGAUGAACAGUGUCUUAUCAUAGUUGUGGAGCUAUGAAGUUGAUCAGCUUUGGCAUUUUAAUUAAGUCAAUGCAUGAAACUACAUUUAUAACAAAGAUGUAAGGAGUAUGUUGUUGUGUGUUCUGGAAGUUUAUGAUCAUGUUGUAAUUAAGUGAUGUAAUUUAUCACUGUUAGAAAGUUGUUAAAGAUGCAGGAAGCAGUGAUGUUGAAAUCAUAUAGUCAUAUUGAUAAUAAAUUUCAGCAUGUUGAAAUUCUAUGU